CAGCGGUGCUGCAGGAGCAGCACUGUGCCCGAGGAGGGGCCGGGCUGCUGCAGCAUCCCCAGCCUGGGACCCUGCCUGUGCCAAGGACUGGAGCCGGGGCUGUGCCAGCGCCGUGGGCUCGGCUGCCAGCUCUCAGGCUGGCCUGGUGUCAGACUGCACCCAGAAAUCUGCUUUCUCUCCUGAGCUGUCAGAUGGAGGAGGAGGGCAGGCUGCUGGGGCUGCCUGAAGAAACCACAGCUUGGAAGAGCUGGGAUUUCGGUUGUUGAGGUGAGAACACGUUUGGGAAGUGCUUGAUUCCUGCAGGAGCUGCUGAAAAGCAGUGAAACGAGAACAGAGCCCAGCCUGGUCCACGUCCAGCCCCUCUCCUGGGUGGCACAAGCAUCCCUGUGCCAGGGAUGGCUUCACGUCCCACAGGGAAGAUUUUGUGUGGCCCUGUCCCUUGGUGAUGAUUAUUUCAGCUCUUCUUUUUCCUGGACAGAAGGAGAAACUCGUGAAGGUCCCAGCCCUGAGAAGCAGACAGCAGAGUGAAUCACACCAUUGCUCUGGCAGGACACCAGCCAGGGCCUCAUCUCCCCAGGGAGCUCUCCAGCUCUGCUUGCUCGCUGCUUUCUUCUUGGCUUUUUUUCUUUGGCUUUCAACACACUUUGGUGGAAAAAAAAAUGGGUGUGAACAAUUUUUCAUGAGAAGCUUCCAUUGCAAAAAGGGCUUUUUUUAGGAACUCAGCAUCUUUUUGAGUGAAAUGCCAGAAAUCUCACAAGCUGAAGCUGAAAUGUGCUGGUUGCAACAUUAGGUGCUAACAGUUGGCAAAGCUUGAGUCCCAGUGGCUAAAACACCAGAGAAAAUGGCAGGCAGCUCCUUGGCUUUUAAAUCUGGGCUGUCUCACUGGUGUGCAGGAGGAGAGAGGGGAGCACUGGGCUUGGGCUGGCUGUGACUGACACGAUUCAGGGACAGCUUUUUAUGGCUCUCAUCAUGGUGACGUCCUGAUUGCCUCCCCAGCGCUAACGAAGAUAUCCCCUAAUGGGCCUGCCAGAGAGGCUCAUAAAUUCCUGCCGGUACACAGAAUGCGUGGGAGGCUGCCUGUUUGCACAGCAUGGGACCAGGACCUGCACAUUCAAAUAUCCGAGACAGCUGGAACACAAUCUGUGAAAAGGCACUCAGAGCCUCCAGGUCUAUUAAAUACAAACUUGGAACAUCCACCAAGAAUUUUAUAUCUUGCACUACGCGGGUAAUGCCAGAAAGAAUAGGUGUGAUACCUCGGGGACUUUGUCAAUAAAUGUCACAGCAGAGCAUCCAAAGAAUCUUCUGUGGACUAAUGCAUUGUGACACCUCGAUUACAAGAAGCGUGGAUGGCUCCUCCUGCCCUCUCUGUUCUAGGUGACAGCCUGAGACCAAGCCAAGGGAAUGCUCACCUGCUGCCUGGGCUGGCUCUGCCCUGUUCCUGCAGCUGUGCCCGCGGUCCCCAGCUGUGCCCUGCACCAGGGAGGACACAGGACACCCGUCCCCAAGCUGCUGGCAGACCUCUCGGUGACACCUCUGAAGGGACAGUGCUUCCAGCCGCGCUCCUGUGUACCUGCUGUCCUGAGCAAUUUUAGCAAAUGAGAGCAGGGAAAUGGUGGAGGCGGCGGAGCAGAACGCCAGCAGCGCUGUGCCCGCUCUGGGAGAGACUGGAGAACAGGACCCUCAGCCACAGUGGGAGCAAUGAAAUGUUCUGUGGCUGAGGCUGCCUGGCCCCGUGUCCUCAAUAAUCAAAUCCUGGGCUCCUUUUGCAAACUGCAGCUGCUGAGAAUGGGAAGCCAGCUAGAGCAGCAUCGCUCCAGCUGUGGAACUGGGAUGCUGCAAGAGAAGCCUGCAGGAGGAGGACAAACACACUGGGCUCCUGGAGCACCGUGUUUUGAUGGACUUACUCUUCCCCUUGUGGGACAAUGGACUGAGGAGCCAGUGGCACUGCUGCUGCAUGGAUCAGGUGACAAUGCUGUGUCUGCUGCCAGCUCCACCAGAACACGAGUGGCCGUGUCCUGCUGGUGCAGGUGAUGGCUGUCACCCUGCAGCUCUUGGCUGUGUCCAUCCCAGGCUCAGGACCAGGGACCCUCCAGGUACCAGGAGAAUGGGAGUGGCAUCAGAGCCGGUAUGCAGAUGAGAAAUGCAUUGCGCCCCGAAUUUUGCAGUUUUCCAGGAAAACCCCUAAGAAUUACGAGCCAACAUAGAACUAAGUGACGUCUAAGGAUGGGAGCGUAGUCCAGUACCUGCUUGGAUCCUUUUUGCUUCUCACCCUAACCUAAAAGAUGUUGAUUAAAGAGACGACCCAGGGUGUUAGACCAAAAAGGAGGAAUCUCCUAAUCUCUUAUGAGGACGGAAUCCUGAGCUCUGCCUGCAGACCAGUGGUCACAGCUGCAUCAUCAUCAUCACCCUCCUUCUCCGUGCCACUCCUGGGAGCACCGGAGGUGUGGGCGUGACCCGUCGAUUGCUCCCCACCUGAGCUGA